rnacentral:rRNA from 1 species
AGAGUUUGAUCAUGGCUCAGAUUAAACGCUGGCGGCAGUGCCUUACACAUGCAAGUCGAACGGCAGCACGGGGGCAACCCUGGUGGCGAGUGGCGAACGGGUGAGUAAAGCAUCGGAACGUGCCUGGAGUGGGGAUAACGUAGCGAAAGUUACGCUAAUACCGCAUAUUCUGUGAGCAGGAAAGCAGGGGAUCGCAAGACCUUGCGCUCUGGGAGCGGCCGAUGUCGGAUUAGCUAGUUGGUGGGGUAAAGGCCUACCAAGGCGACGAUCCGUAGCGGGUCUGAGAGGAUGAUCCGCCACACUGGGACUGAGACACGGCCCAGACUCCUACGGGAGGCAGCAGUGGGGAAUUUUGGACAAUGGGCGAAAGCCUGAUCCAGCCAUGCCGCGUGAGUGAAGAAGGCCUUCGGGUUGUAAAGCUCUUUCGGUGGGGAAGAAAUUGCAUAGGCUAAUACCCUAUGUAGAUGACGGUACCUGGAGAAGAAGCACCGGCUAACUCUGUG